UACGUAGGGGGCCAGCGUUGUCCGGAGUUACUGGGCGUAAAGAGCGCGUAGGCGGGCCCUUAAGUGGGGGGUGAAAGGCUGGGGCUCAACCCCAACACUGCCUUUCAUACUGGGGGCCUUGAGUGCGGGAGAGGCGAGUGGAAUGGUCGGUGUAGCGGUGAAAUGCGUAGAUAUCGAUCGGAACACCCAUGGCGAAGGCAGCUCGCUGGCCUGCAACUGACGCUGAGGCGCGAAAGCCGGGGGAGCGAACAGG
rnacentral:rRNA from 1 species